rnacentral:rRNA from 1 species
AUUGAACGCUGGCGGCAGGCCUAACACAUGCAAGUCGAGCGGAUGAAGGGAGCUUGCUCCUGGAUUCAGCGGCGGACGGGUGAGUAAUGCCUAGGAAUCUGCCUGGUAGUGGGGGAUAACGUCCGGAAACGGGCGCUAAUACCGCAUACGUCCUGAGGGAGAAAGUGGGGGAUCUUCGGACCUCACGCUAUCAGAUGAGCCUAGGUCGGAUUAGCUAGUUGGUGGGGUAAAGGCCUACCAAGGCGACGAUCCGUAACUGGUCUGAGAGGAUGAUCAGUCACACUGGAACUGAGACACGGUCCAGACUUCUACGGGAGGCAGCAGUGGGGAAUAUUGGACAAUGGGCGAAAGCCUGAUCCAGCCAUGCCGCGUGUGUGAAGAAGGUCUUCGGAUUGUAAAGCACUUUAAGUUGGGAGGAAGGGCAGUAAGUUAAUACCUUGCUGUUUUGACGUUACCAACAGAAUAAGCACCGGCUAACUUCG